rnacentral:lncRNA from 1 species
AAAAUAAAGAAUGCAAAGAAGUUUUCUUAAAUAAAGUAUGAUAAUUUUUCUAAAGUAAAACAAGAAUGGUGUCCCAACCGCCGGUGCCAUUGUACUAUUUCUAUAUUGACUUCCUUGUUCUCAAUGGUCGCUUGAUUCCCAAUUAGGUUUUAACUUUUUUUCAAGACAUAUAAGUCAUCCUGCAGUUUACUAGUGUCAAUCAUCUUCCUUGUUCAAAUAUCCUAAAAAAUAC